GGAAUAUUGGACAAUGGGCGCAAGCCUGAUCUAGCCAUGCCGCGUGAGCGAUGAAGGCCUUAGGGUUGUAAAGCUCUUUCACCGGGGAAGAUAAUGACGAUACCCGGAGAAGAAGCCCCGGAUAACCCCGCGUCCGCAGCCGCGGUAAUACGGAGGGGGCUAGCGUUGUUCGGAAUUACUGGGCGCAAAGCGCGCGUAGGCGGGCUGUUAAGUCGGGGGUGAAAUCCCGGGGCUCAACCCCGGAACUGCCUUCGAUACUGGCAGCCUGGAGUCCGAGAGAGGUGAGUGGAAUUCCGAGUGUAGAGGUGAAAUUCGUAGAUAUUCGGAGGAACACCAGUGGCGAAGGCGGCUCACUGGCUCGGUACUGACGCUGAGGUGCGAAAGCGUGGGGAGCA
rnacentral:rRNA from 1 species